UCCAGAGUCACAGGGUUGAGGAAGUAGUUGAAGCAGCUGGGACAAGUGGCCUCAAUCUCAGCCUCUUCCAAGGGGAAGAGAACUUCCCUUCUUGGAUCAGCCCACCCUGAGUUACUAACAGGAGAUUCCCUUUAAAGAUAAAUAAUUUUUGCAAAGAUAAAGGAGAAGAGACUGCCUACUCCCCCCGCCCCAAAAAAAGAACCACAGGCUGCUCAGAAACAGUAGCCAAUUAUGCAGUAAACUGGUGAGCUCUAUCGCGUCUCACGCAAGAGCAUUAAAGAAAAAAGUGACUUCCCAGAAAUGUCUCCCUGUUGAAAACUCCUGACAGCCAAGGACAUAUAGCCAAUUUUCAAAUCUCUCAGGGUUUUUG